rnacentral:rRNA from 1 species
GAUGAACGCUGGCGGCGUGCCUAACACAUGCAAGUCGAGCGAUUUACUUCGGUAAAGAGCGGCGGACGGGUGAGUAACGCGUGGGCAACCUGCCCUGUACACACGGAUAACAUACCGAAAGGUAUGCUAAUACGAGAUAAUAUACUUUUAUCGCAUGGUAGAAGUAUAAAAGUUUUUGCGGUACAGGAUGGACCCGCGUCUGAUUAGCUAGUUGGUAAGGUAACGGCUUACCAAGGCGACGAUCAGUAGCCGACCUGAGAGGGUGAUCGGCCACAUUGGAGCUGAGACACGGUCCAAACUCCUACGGGAGGCAGCAGUGGGGAAUAUUGCACAAUGGGCGAAAGCCUGAUGCAGCAACGCCGCGUGAGCGAUGAAGGCCUUCGGGUCGUAAAGCUCUGUCCUCAAGGAAGAUAAUGACGGUACUUGAGGAGGAAGCCCCGGCUAACUACGUGCCAGCCGCCGCGGUAA